UAGCGAAGGGGGCUAGCGUUGCUCGGAAUGACUGGGCGUAAAGGGCGCGUAGGCGGCGCAGUUAGUCAGGCGUGAAAUUCCUGGGCUCAACCUGGGGACUGCGCUUGAUACGGCUGUGCUUGAGGAUGGAAGAGGCUCGCGGAAUUCCCAGUGUAGAGGUGAAAUUCGUAGAUAUUGGGAAGAACACCGGUGGCGAAGGCGGCGAGCUGGUCCAUUACUGACGCUGAGGCGCGACAGCGUGGGGGAGCAACAGG
rnacentral:rRNA from 1 species